rnacentral:rRNA from 1 species
UACGUAGGGAGCAAGCGUUGUCCGGAAUCAUUGGGCGUAAAGCGCGCGUAGGCGGCCCUGUAAGUCCGUUGUGAAAGUCAAAGGCUCAACCUUUGAAAGCCGAUGGAUACUGUAGGGCUAGAGUCCGGAAGAGGCGAGUGGAAAUUCCUGGUGUAGCGGUGGAAUGCGCAGGAUAAUCAGGAGGAACACCAAUAGCGAAAGGGCAGCUCGCUGGGACGGUACUGACGCUAAGGCGCGAAAGCGUGG